rnacentral:rRNA from 1 species
ACAGCAGUAGCCGCGGGAAUACGAAGGGUGCAAGCGUUACUCGGAAUUACUGGGCGUAAAGCGUGCGUAGGUGGUGGUUUAAGUCCGUUGUGAAAGCCCUGGGCUCAACCUGGGAAUUGCAGUGGAUACUGGGUCACUAGAGUGUGGUAGAGGAUAGUGGAAUUUCCGGUGUAGCAGUGAAAUGCGUAGAGAUCGGAAGGAACAUCUGUGGCGAAGGCGACUAUCUGGGCCAACACUGACACUGAGGCACGAAAGCGUGGGGAGCAAACAGGAUUAGAUACCCCCGUAGUCCCUGUCUCUUAUAA